GAAAUUGAAAGAGUUCAUGAAAUUUAAUUUUUGGGGGUAAUUAUAGAUGGCAAAAUCAGCUGGAAACCACAUAUCAAACAUGUACAGAGUAAAGUCUCAAGAAACAUUGCAGUAAUAAAUAAAGCAAAGAAGGUCUUAGAUGGCAAAUCACUCCACACUAUAGUCUAUACUGUUCACUAGUCUCUCCUUAUUUGCAGUACUGUGCUGAGGUUUGGGGCAACAACUACAAGACCUCACUAUGUUCAUUAAAUAUCCUACAGAAAAAAGCGAUACAGAUCAUUCACAAAGGUGGUUAUCAGGAUCAAACAAACGCAUUAUUUCUAAAGUCACAAAUACCCAAGCUUACUGACAUUGCGCAAUACCAAACAGCACAAAUAAUGUUCAAAACAAAAUAUAAUCUAUUACCAGGGAAUAUUCAACAAUUGUUCAAAAAUCAGGAAGAGGGUUACAAUCUAGGGAGAAAAAGUAACUUUAAAGAACCAAAAUUUCGUACGACCAGAAAGCGUUUUUGUCUAUCAGUAUGCGGGGUGAGACUUCUGAAGGGAUUCAAUGUGGAAUUGAAGCAAUGUUCAAAUAUGAGACAGUUUAAAAUGCUGUAUAAAAAUAUGAUUUUCAAAAGGUACAAGGAUGAAGGAGGUGGAGAUCGGAAAAGCA